GGUCAAGUUAUUAAGAGCUUACGGUGGAUGCCUAGGAGCUAAGGGCCUAAAAAGGGCGUAGCAAGACUGCGAAAAGCCUCGGUGAGCCGUCUAGCAGGCGUAGCCGGGGAUUCCCGAAUGGGGCAACCCGGCCUGGUGUUGAGCCAGGUCAUCCAACCCUGUAAUGGGGACGGAAGGGAACCAGGGGAACUGAAACAUCUAAGUACCCUGAGGAAAGUAAAUCAACCGAGAUUCCCUUAGUAGUGGCGAACGAACGGGGAAUAGCCCAAACCUCUAUGACUUAACGGUUCGAAGGCCUAUGUCAUAGGGGGGUUGUAGGUGGCGUUAGAGGAAGCUUCGAGAUUCUCAAGGAGUUACAAAUCUUAUCUUUAACCGAGGGUUCCUGGAAAGGACCGUCAUAGAGGGUGAAAGCCCCGUAGGUGAAAAGGAUAAGACUCCUAAUGCCUUCCUGAGUACCACGGGACACGAGAAAUCCUGUGGGAAGCCGGGGGGACCACCCUCCAAGGCUAAAUACCCUUAGCUACCGAUAGUGAACCAGUACCGUGAGGGAAAGGUGAAAAGAACCCCGGGAGGGGAGUGAAAUAGACCUGAAACCGUAAGCUUACAGAAUGUCGGAGCCCUGCUUUUGUGGGGUGACGGCGUGCCUAUUGAAGAAUGAUCCAGGGAGUUACUGCGAGGGGCGAGGUUAAGGAACUGGAGUUCCGGAGCCAUAGCGAAGGCGAGUCCGAAUAGGGCGUUUAGUCCCCCGUAGUAGACCCGAAACCGGGCGAUCUACCCAUGGCCAGGAUGAAGGUACGUUAACGCGUACUGGAGGUCCGAACCGUAUACUGGUACAAAAGUAUCGGAUGAGUUGUGGGUAGCGGUGAAAUGCCAAUCGAGCUCGGAAAUAGCUGGUUCUCCCCGAAAUGCAUUUAGGUGCAGCCUCAGGAAUAGGUUGACGGAGGUAGGGCACUGGAUGGGCUAGGGGGCGUGAGCUUUACCAAACCCAACCAAACCACCAAUGCCGUUUAACCGUUUACUGGGAGUGAGACUGUCGGAGAUAAGUUCGAUGGUCGAAAGGGAAACAGCCCAGACCACCAGCUAAGGCCCCCAAGAACAGACUAAGUGGGAAACGAGGUAGAGUUCCUCGGACAACCAGGAGGUUGGCUUAGAAGCAGCCAUCCUUUGAAGAGUGCGUAAUAGCUCACUGGUCGAGGGGUUCUGCGCGGAAAAUGUACCGGGGCUAAGUCUGUCGCCGAAGCUGUGGUCCCGGCCCCAUAUCCGUAUGGGACCGGGAGGUAGGGGAGCGUUCCUCUUGCGUCGAAGCUCUGAUGUGAAUUUGGGUGGAGCGAGGGGAAGUGAGAAUCCUGGAAUGAGUAGCGUAAAUCAGGGUGAGAAUCCCUGACACCGAAAGUCUAAGGUUUCCUACGCAACGUUUAUCGGCGUAGGGUUAGUCGGUCCUAAGCCGUAGGCGAAAGCCGAAGGCGAUGGACAGUAGGUUAAUAUUCCUACACCGCCGUUUCUUCGUUUUAAAGCCAAGGGGGGACGCGGGAGGGUAGGUGGAUCGCGCCUAUUGGACAUGGCGCGUCCUAAUUCGUAGGCGAUGCCGGAGCAGGCAAAUCCACUCCGGCGCUUAAGCUGAGGAAUGAGGGAAUUCGUUGAUUUCGGUCAACGAAAACUCCGCUGACCCCACACCGACGAGAAAAUCCUCGUGGCUAUGGAGAAAAGGCGUCCGUACCGCAAACCGACACUGGUAGACAGGGGUAAAAGCCCCAAGGUGUUCGGGCGAACCUCCGCUAAGGAACUAGGCAAAAGAGCCCCGUAACUUCGGGAUAAGGGGCGCCCUGGAGGGUAACGUCACUAGCUGACAGAGCUCCUCCGGGGCCGCAGAUAAGACGUCCAGGCGACUGUUUAUCAAAAACACAGGUGUCUGCAAAGGGGAAACCCUAAGUAUAGGCGCUGACGCCUGCCCAGUGCCGGAAGGUUAAGGGGAAGGGUGCAAGCUCUGAACUGAAGCCCCGGUGAACGGCGGCCGUAACUCUAACGGUCCUAAGGUAGCGAAACCCCUUGUCGGGUAAGUUCCGACCCGCAUGAAAGGCGUAACGAUCUGGACACUGUCUCGGCGGAGGCCCCGGUGAAAUUGCAGUGCCCGUGAAGAUGCGGGCGACCCGCAGCAGGACAAAAAGACCCCGUGGAGCUUUACUGCAGCCUGGUAUUGGUCUGGGAACAUGGAUGUGUAGCAUAGGUGGGAGGCUUGGAAGUCUCGACGCCAGUCGAGAUGGAGCCAUCGUUGAAAUACCACUCUUCUCUGUUCUUGGUUCUAACCCCAUGAAUCUGGGGGACAGUGCUUGGUGGGCAGUUUAGCUGGGGCGGCUGCCUCCUAAAAGGUAACGGAGGCGUCCAAAGGUCCCCUCAGGGCGGAUGGAAAUCGCCCUACGAGCGCAUUGGCAUAAGGGGGCUUGACUGCGAGGCAUACAAGCCGAGCAGAGACGAAAGUCGGGCAAAGUGAUCCUACGGCUCCGUGUGGAAGGGCCGUGGCUUAACGGAUAAAAGCUACCCCGGGGAUAACAGGCUUAUCUCGCCCAAGAGUUCACAUCGACGGCGAGGUUUGGCACCUCGAUGUCGCCUCAUCCUAUCCUGGGGCUGAAGAAGGUCCCAAGGGUUCGGCUGUUCGCCGAUUAAAAGGGUACGUGAGUUGGGUUCAGAACGUCGUGAGACAGUUCGGUCUCUAUCCGCUGUGGGCGCAGGAAGCUUGAGGAGUUCUCUUCCUAGUACGAGAGGACCGGAAGGGACGGACCUAUGGUGUACCGGCUGUUCCGCCAGGAGCAACGUCGGGUAGCCACGUCCGGUGUGGAUAAGCGCUGAAGGCAUAUAAGCGCGAAGCCCUCUCCAAGAUUAGGCUUCCCAUCCCUCGACUUGUCGAGGGAGUAAGGCAGCAGGCAGACUACCUGCUCGAUAGGCCGGGAGUGUAAGGACAGCAAUGUUUUCAGCUUACCGGUACUAAUCAGCCGAGGACUUGGCCCU
rnacentral:rRNA from 1 species